rnacentral:rRNA from 1 species
UACGGGGGGGGCAAGCGUUGUUCGGAAUUACUGGGCGUAAAGGGUGCGUAGGCGGUUCGCUAAGUUGGAUGUGAAAACUCUGGGCUUAACCCAGAGCCUGCAUCCAAUACUGACGAGCUAGAGUUCUGGAGGGGGUAGCGGAAUUCCUGGUGUAGCGGUGAAAUGCGUAGAUAUCAGGAGGACCACCUGCGGUGUAGACAGCUUUCUGGACCACUUCUGACGCUGAGACACGAAAGCGUGGGUAGCAAACAGG